GGGCGUACCGAGCGGGGCGGCAGCCCCCCCAGUUUGUUGGGCAAACAAACUCAGUCGGGCAAUAUUCGCUUCACAGUCGGGCAAUAUGCCUUACUAUAAAAAUAAAUGGGACAAAUUCUGUCAAUUUUGUGGGAAAUUUUGUGGGAAAUAUGCUACCUAAUAGGAAUUUUUCGUAAUCACUCUUCCCCCCCCCCUCCCCCCCGUCGACAACAAUUUCGGA